rnacentral:rRNA from 1 species
GACGAACGCUGGCGGCGUGCCUAAUACAUGCAAGUCGAGCGGACUUUCAAGAAGCCUGCUUUUUGAAAGUUAGCGGCGGACGGGUGAGUAACACGUGGGCAACCUGCCUGCAAGACGGGGAUAACUCCGGGAAACCGGGGCUAAUACCGGAUAAUAUCUUCCUUCGCAUGAAGGAAGGUUGAAAGGCGGCGCAAGCUGCCGCUUGCAGAUGGGCCCGCGGCGCAUUAGCUAGUUGGUGAGGUAACGGCUCACCAAGGCGACGAUGCGUAGCCGACCUGAGAGGGUGCUCGGCCACACUGGGACUGAGACACGGCCCAGACUCCUACGGGAGGCAGCAGUAGGGAAUCUUCCGCAAUGGACGAAAGUCUGACGGAGCAACGCCGCGUGAGCGAAGAAGGUCUUCGGAUCGUAAAGCUCUGUUGUCAGGGAAGAACAAGUACCGUUCGAACAGGGCGGUACCUUGACGGUACCUGACCAGAAAGCCACGGCUAACUACGUG